UUCACGUUGCAACAAUAACCUUGUAACCUGGUCAGGUCAGAAAUGAAGCAGCCAAAUCAAGUAGUAUUGUGUGCAACACUUUUAU
rnacentral:SRP_RNA from 1 species